GAAAUGCGAUAAGUAAUGUGAAUUGCAGAAUUCAGUGAAUCAUCGAAUCUUUGAACGCACAUUGCGCCCUCCGGUAUUCCGGGGGGCAUGCCUGUUCGAGCGUCAUUUCACCACUCAAGCCUGGCUUGGUCUUGGGCGCCGCGGUCCGCCGCGCGCCCCAAUGUCUCCGGCUGAGCGACCGUCUCGAAGCGUUGUGGUCAAACAAAUCGCUUGCGGAGCGCGGGAGCCCGGGCCGUUAAACACCCCACCACAGGUUGACCUCGGAUCAGGUAGGGAUACCCGCUGAACUUAA
rnacentral:misc_RNA from 1 species